UACAAGCAGUGGGAGCACAGGUUUACCUGUGUGACUGCGUACCUUUUGUAUAAUGGGUCAGCGACUUAUAUUCUGUAGCAAGGUUAACCGUAUAGGGGAGCCGGAGGGAAACCGAGUCUUAACCGGGCGUUAAGUUGCAGGGUAUAGACCCGAAACCCGGUGAUCUAGCCAUGGGCAGGUUGAAGGUUGGGUAACACUAACUGGAGGACCGAACCGACUAAUGUUGAAAAAUUAGCGGAUGACCUGUGGCUGGGGGUGAAAGGCCAAUCAAACCGGGAGAUAGCUGGUUCUCCCCGAAAGCUAUUUAGGUAGCGCCUCGUGAAUUCAUCUCCGGGGGUAGAGCACUGUUUCGGCUAGGGGGCCAUCCCGGCUUACCAACCCGAUGCAAACUGCGAAUACCGGAGAAUGUUAUCACGGGAGACACACGGCGGGUGCUAACGUCCGUCGUGAAGAGGGAAACAACCCAGACCGCCAGCUAAGGUCCCAAAGUCAUGGUUAAGUGGGAAACGAUGUGGGAAGGCCCAGACAGCCAGGAUGUUGGCUUAGAAGCAGCCAUCAUUUAAAGAAAGCGUAAUAGCUCACUGGUCGAGUCGGCCUGCGCGGAAGAUGUAACGGGGCUAAACCAU
rnacentral:rRNA from 1 species